GUAAACGGCGGCCGUAACUAUAACGGUCCUAAGGUAGCGAAAUUCCUUGUCGGGUAAGUUCCGACCUGCACGAAUGGCGUAAUGAUGGCCAGGCUGUCUCCACCCGAGACUCAGUGAAAUUGAACUCGCUGUGAAGAUGCAGUGUACCCGCGGCAAGACGGAAAGACCCCGUGAACCUUUACUAUAGCUUGACACUGAACAUUGAGCCUUGAUGUGUAGGAUAGGUGGGAGGCUUUGAAGUGUGGACGCCAGUCUGCAUGGAGCCGACCUUGAAAUACCACCCUUUAAUGUUUGAUGUUCUAACGUUGGCCCGUUAUCCGGGUUGCGGACAGUGUCUGGUGGGUAGUUUGACUGGGGCGGUCUCCUCCUAAAGAGUAACGGAGGAGCACGAAGGUUGGCUAAUCCUGGUCGGACAUCAGGAGGUUAGUGCAAUGGCAUAAGCCAGCUUGACUGCGAGCGUGACGGCGCGAGCAGGUGCGAAAGCAGGUCAUAGUGAUCCGGUGGUUCUGAAUGGAAGGGCCAUCGCUCAACGGAUAAAAGGUACUCCGGGGAUAACAGGCUGAUACCGCCCAAGAGUUCAUAUCGACGGCGGUGUUUGGCACCUCGAUGUCGGCUCAUCACAUCCUGGGGCUGAAGUAGGUCCCAAGGGUAUGGCUGUUCGCCAUUUAAAGUGGUACGCGAGCUGGGUUUAGAACGUCGUGAGACAGUUCGGUCCCUAUCUGCCGUGGGCGCUGGAGAACUGAGGGGGGCUGCUCCUAGUACGAGAGGACCGGAGUGGACGCAUCACUGGUGUUCGGGUUGUCAUGCCAAUGGCACUGCCCGGUAGCUAAAUGCGGAAGAGAUAAGUGCUGAAAGCAUCUAAGCACGAAACUUGCCCCGAGAUGAGUUCUCCCUGACUCCUUGAGAGUCCUGAAGGAACGUUGAAGACGACGACGUUGAUAGGCCGGGUGUGUAAGCGCAGCGAUGCGUUGAGCUAACCGGUACUAAUGAACCGUGAGGCUUAACCUU
rnacentral:rRNA from 1 species